UACGGAGGGUGCAAGCGUUAAUCGGAAUUACUGGGCGUAAAGCGUGCGCAGGCGGUUUGUUAAGUCUGUUGUGAAAUCCCCGAGCUCAACUUGGGAAUUGCAAUGGAUACUGGCAGGCUCGAGUAUGGUAGAGGAAGGUGGAAUUCCCGGUGUAGCAGUGAAAUGCGUAGAGAUCGGGAGGAGCACCAGUGGCGAAGGCGGCCUUCUGGACCAAUACUGACGCUCAUGCACGAAAGCGUGGGGAGCAAACAGG
rnacentral:rRNA from 1 species